AGAGUUUGAUCCUGGCUCAGAAUCAACGCUGGCGGCGUGCCUAACACAUGCAAGUCGCACGAGAAAGGGACUUCGGUCCUGAGUACAGUGGCGCACGGGUGAGUAACACGUGACUUAUCUACCUCCGAGUGGGGAAUAACCUAGAGAAAUCUGGGCUAAUACCGCAUAACACUUACGAGUCAAAGCAGCAAUGCGCUUGGAGAGGAGGUCGCGGCAGAUUAGUUAGUUGGCGGGGUAAUGGCCCACCAAGACGAUGAUCUGUAUCCGGCCUGAGAGGGCGCACGGACACACUGGAACUGAAACACGGUCCAGACUCCUACGGGAGGCAGCAGUGGGGAAUUUUGCGCAAUGGGGGAAACCCUGACGCAGCAACGCCGCGUGGAGGAUGAAAUCCCUUGGGAUGUAAACUCCU
rnacentral:rRNA from 1 species